rnacentral:rRNA from 1 species
CCUACGGGGUGCAGCAGUGGGGAAUAUUGGACAAUGGGCGAAAGCCUGAUCCAGCCAUGCCGCGUGUGUGAAGAAGGCCUUCGGGUUGUAAAGCACUUUCAGUGGGGAAGAAAGCCUUGGGGCUAAUACCCUCGAGGAAGGACAUCACCCACAGAAGAAGCACCGGCUAACUCCGUGCCAGCAGCCGCGGUAAUACGGAGGGUGCGAGCGUUAAUCGGAAUUACUGGGCGUAAAGCGCGCGUAGGCGGUCUGAUAAGCCGGUUGUGAAAGCCCCGGGCUCAACCUGGGAACGGCAUCCGGAACUGUCAGGCUAGAGUGCAGGAGAGGAAGGUAGAAUUCCCGGUGUAGCGGUGAAAUGCGUAGAGAUCGGGAGGAAUACCAGUGGCGAAGGCGGCCUUCUGGACUGACACUGACGCUGAGGUGCGAAAGCGUGGGUAGCAAACAGGAUUAGAUACCCCCAGUAUC